rnacentral:rRNA from 1 species
AUGAACGCUGGCGGCGUGCCUAAUACAUGCAAGUCGAGCGAACAGACGAGGAGCUUGCUCCUCUGACGUUAGCGGCGGACGGGUGAGUAACACGUGGAUAACCUACCUAUAAGACUGGGAUAACUUCGGGAAACCGGAGCUAAUACCGGAUAACAUGUUGAACCGCAUGGUUUAACAGUGAAAGACGGUCUUGCUGUCACUUAUAGAUGGAUCCGCGCCGCAUUAGCUAGUUGGUAAGGUAACGGCUUACCAAGGCAACGAUGCGUAACCGACCUGAGAGGGUGAUCGGCCACACUGGAACUGAGACACGGUCCAGACUCCUACGGGAGGCAGCAGUAGGGAAUCUUCCGCAAUGGGCGAAAGCCUGACGGAGCAACGCCGCGUGAGUGAAGAAGGUCUUCGGAUCGUAAAACUCUGUUAUUAGGGAAGAACAAAUGUGUAAGUAACUAUGCACGUCUUGACGGUACCUAAUCAGAAAGCCACGGCUAACUACGUG